UUUACAUUGACUAAUUAUUAAAAUCUGAAUUACAACUACAAAAGUUUUUUGUUCUUGGAAAAAUAAAACUAAAGCUUUGCGACCAUUUGUCAGCACCCUUGGAAGUGGAGGGGA